AUCUAUACAAGGUAAAGGUUUGACUGAAGCAGGGGUUCCUAUAACAAUUUCUCAGUUUUGUGGAAUAUUCACAUGCCUCAAGGAAUCUUGGAGGGUUUUUUUUAAUAGAAAACAAUAGUCUUAGAAUUCUUGGAAGAAUCAAAAUUGAGGAUCAUAAUGGGAAGGCUCAUAGUAGGGAGGACUGAAUGAAAACACAUUAUGAACAAGGAAUUGCUCAGAAGUAAAGAAACUUCUCUGGGUCACCUGAAAAAUAUGUGCAGAGGGAGGAAAAAGAUGGAUUGGUCAUGUAGUGAGUCAGUCAAUUGACAACUAUUUAUUAAGUGCCUACUAUAUACCAAGCAUUAAAGAUACAAAGAUGAAAAAGAAAGUUCUUGUCCUCAAGAAACUUACAAUAUUAUGAAAGAAGACAACAAACAAAGGCAGCUGAAAAGUUGUGAGGGGCAAGGAGGAGAAGGAAGGGAAGGUGCCCAUCUCUGAAAUAUGAUGGAGAAAUAUAAACAAUUAUGACUGGUUUCCAGGAGAGUAUGCUGGAGUCUUCUUUAAAAGAGAUUUGAGGGAGAAACUCCCCAUUCCAGCCUCCCAUCAGAAGAUUCUGAUGACAUGUGAAUACUAAAGCUGAGAUGAUCUUGUUUAAUGAUGAAGUUCCUGUGAACAUGAUACAAUAAAAAUAUGUCUGGAUGGGAAAUUAAAAGAGUAAGAUGAGAGGUAAGAAAAAGAUAGCCUAUGUACCCCACUGGAAUCCAUGCAAUGUCAAAAGAUCUAGAAGAUGGCUCCUCAGUUGCUUGGGUGAAUCCAAUCUGGAGGACUAAUAUGGACCAGAGAAGCCCCAGAUAGGCUGGUACAAAUGCUGUGACUUACAUCACUGGCAGACAUACCAGCCAUGAUGACAUCACAAAUCCAUGACUUAAUAGAUGAACCCCAAAGAUUUCUGAAUGAACCAAAGCUUUCACCAACCUGCUGGAAUGUGCCAAGGUUUUUCAGGAAAAAUUAGAGAUUCUCCAUGAUCUUAAGAACCAACUGACCUAAGCUUUCAGCUUAUCAAAUAUCAUUUGAUAUUAACAAUACAUAUCCAAUCAGGUGACAAAUCUUGUUAUUUCUGCUUUCAAGACAUCUCUCCUCAUCUCCACCUCUUGGAAUCCCUGAGUUCUUUCAAGACAGCUCAUGCAUUACCUCCUGCCAAAGGCUUUUCCCAGUCUCCUCAGCUAAUGGAGAUUUUCCUCAAGGAUUAUCUUUCAUAUGCAAAGAAUAAUAAUCAUCAAUAAAGUUGAGUUUCAGAUGUCUCAGUUUUCAUACAGACCCUACAAGCAAUGUCAUGUGGUCCCAUUCUGGAGUAGAUCUCAACAGAAGCUUGAACAUGAGUCUUCAUAGAAGAGCUGGUCAGCAACAGAGGUUCCUAGAAUGAGAUAAACAUCAGGUAUCAGAGGUGUCCUGAGAAGAUCUCUUACUACAGAAGUAGUCAAGAAAUAUCUCCCAAAGGAUAACUUUGACAUGGGCAAGUAUAUGGAAGAAGAAAAUUACUAGGUGAAUUUAGGAGGAAAGUGAUUACACCAUUUAGGCUAAAGUGUAAUGUUGGCACAAUGGAGUCAUAGAAAAUAUAUCUAGAUGGGUAGUUUAGGGCCAAAUUAAGAAAGAUCUUGAAUGCCUAGACAAGGAAUAUGAACUUACUUUUGUAUACUAUGGAGAGCUACUGAAAAUGAACCAGUCAAACUAAAUUUAUAAAAUCAUUAAAUUAAUGUAGAUAUGUUAAGAAUGGGUUAGAAUGGGAAGAAAAUCAAAGAAGAUACAAAGAAAUCUGUUCAUUCAUUCACCAAAUAAAGUACCUACUAAAUUCACUAGAAAGAAAAACAAUUAAGACUAUUUUUGCCUUCAAGCAGCAUACAUUCUAUUGAUUGUCAUUACAGUAGCUCAACACUGAGAAGACAUAAGGUUGAACUGUAAUCAUUUCA